GUGCUCGCUUCGGGAGCACAUAUACUAAAAUUGAAACGAUAUAGAGAUUAGCAUAGCCCCUGUGCAAGGAUAACACACAAAUUCGUGAAGUGUUUCAUAUUUUU